AGAGAGAGAGAGAGAGAGAGAGAGAGAGAGAGAGAGAGAGAGAGAAGGGAUCGACCCCAGAGAGAGAGAGAGAAGGGGUCGACCCCAGAGAGAGAGAGAGAAAGAGAGAGAGAGAGAGAGAGAGAGAGAGAGAGAGAAGGGAUUGACCCCAGAGAGAGAGAGAAGGGAUCGACCCCAGAGAGAGAGAGAGAAGGGGUCGACCCCAGAGAGAGAGAGAGAAAGAGAGAGAGAGAGAGAGAGAGAGAGAGAGAAGGGAUUGACCCCAGAGAGAGAGAGAAGGGAUUGACCCCAGAGAGAGAGAGAAGGGAUUGACCCCAGAGAGAGAGAGAAAGGGUCGACCCCAGAGAGAGAAGGGAUCGACCCCAGAGAGAGAGAGAGAGAAGGGAUCGACCCCAGAGAGAGAGAGAAGGGAUCGACCCCAGAGAGAGAGAGAAGAGGUCGACCCCAGAGAGAGAGAGAGAGAGAGAAGGGUGCGACCCCAGAGAGAGAGAGAGAGAGGAGGUCGACCCCAGAGAGAGAGAGAGAGAGAGAAGGGUGUGACCCCAGAGAGAGAACGAGAGAAGUGAUCAUGGGUUGGGACUCGGGAGCACCUCAUUGAAAAGCAAUGAGUUGAUUUGAAAUGGAAUUCGCCCCAACUCUGGUUCGUAGAGCUCUAGUCCUAAACACUUUUUGAAUAACAGCAAUACGAACCUAAGACAAGUGAAGACAGGAAUACGUUUUAAUUACUGUACUCUGUGCCUGUGCAUUGAGAGAACUGAAGGAGUGAUGGGUUGAUUUCUAAAAGACAGUGACGCAGAGAGAGAGAGAGAGAGACAGACAGAGAUAUUAUUUAUUUUAUCUCGUGUCCUUUAAUUAUUUGUACAUUGUGUAUAUAUAUAUAUAUAUAUAUAUAUAAUAUGACAUUUGUAAUGUCUUUACUGUUUUGAAACUGUUGUAUGUGUAAUGUUUACUGUUAAUUUUUGUUGUUCUUCACUUUAUAUAUUCACUUUGUAUGUUGUCUACCUCACUUGCUUUGGCAAUGUUAACACAUGUUUCCCAUGCCAAUAAAGCCCCUUGAAUUGAA